rnacentral:pre_miRNA from 1 species
UCUUAUGGUUGAACAAAGAAAGUGGUUUCUUGAGAGGGAAUCUUCUCCUGAUGAAGAUACUGUGAA